UACGUAGGGUGCGAGCGUUAAUCGGAAUUACUGGGCGUAAAGCGCACGUAGGCGGAUUUGUAAGUCAGGGGUGAAAUCCCGGGGCUCAACCUCGGAACUGCCUUUGAUACUGCAAAUCUCGAGUCCGGAAGAGGUGAGUGGAAUUCCUAGUGUAGAGGUGAAAUUCGUAGAUAUUAGGAAGAACACCAGUGGCGAAGGCGGCUCACUGGUCCGGUACUGACGCUGAGGUGCGAAAGCGUGGGGAGCAAACAGG
rnacentral:rRNA from 1 species